AUGAUACGCGAGGAACCUUACCAAGGCUUAAAUGUAGAUUGACAGAUUUGGAGAGCAGUUUUUCUUCGGACAAUUUACAAGGUGCUGCAUGGUUGUCGUCAGCUCGUGCCGUGAGGUGUCGGGUUAAGUCCCAUAACGAGCGCAACCCCUAUUUUUAGUUACCAGCGAGUAAUGUCGGGAACUCUAGAAAGACUGCCUGUGUAAACAGUGAGGAAGGUGGGGAUGACGUCAAAUCAUCACGGCCCUUAUGUCUUGGGCUCAACACGUGUUACAAUGGUUACUACAGAGGCUGCCAACUGGCAACAGAGAGCAAAUCCAUAAAGGUAAUCCCAGUUCGGAUCGGAGUCUGCAACUCGACUCUGUGAAGUUGGAUUCGCUAGUAAUCGUAUAUCAGCAAUGAUACGGUGAAUACGUUCCCGGGCCUUGU
rnacentral:rRNA from 1 species